UUCUCUAAAAUUUGCUCUCUCAACCCCCUCCCCUCUUUUCUCGUUCACUCUCUCGUUGAUGUUCAAUCUACCUCCUCAUUGUGCGUUGUAGCUCUCUUUUCCCAAAACCCAUAAACCCAAUAUGUCCUCAUCCGAAAAAUACAAUCCCUCCGAUGACAACCCACUUCAUCUAUCGUCUCAUGCCCACGUCUAAAGCAACAUCAGAGUUGAAGCCUCCGUUCGUGUUUGGUAGAAGCUACAUUGACGUUGAUGUCAUCAAAGUCGUUAAAACCAACAUUAAAGUUGCUUUUGGGUUCUCGUCUAAUGUCGUCGUUUGCAUUCGACCUUGCCCAAUCUUUUCUGCCUCCGAAUUUGGGUCUUCCACGACCAAAUCUAGUUUGUGUCCAAUACCAUUUGGUUCUUCCUUCACCAGAUCAUUUCAAUCACCACCUAAAUAAGUCAUUCAUCGGUAGAUUUUUUCGUUGUACAUCUCACCGGUUGUUGUACAUCUCAACACGACGUUGUAGAUCUCAUCAAGUAGCUCCUUGCUUGUCCACUAUUUGUGCUACUAAUUAUUCUCCACCUUUGUUGUCGCACAAAUCCGUUCGCUAUCUUACAUAUUCCUCAUUGGUGUCGGAAAAAGUCCGGAGAACACCGAAAGCAAAUUGGAGGCAUAUAUGACAAAAAAUUUCAAGCUUGGAAAGGUAAUUUCAUCAUCAAUAAGCCAUAUUCAAGAAGGGUAAAUAUAAGUUUUCUUCAUUUCUUUUCUCAAUAACUUUUAUUAGGUCCAUAUUUGUGUGUGAACUCAGUAUGGAUUUAUUUUAGGAAAAAGGAAAUUUUUGGUGUUGUAGACGAACAAAAAUUGAAUGGAGCAACUGUGGAUUUUAUGAACAACAAGAGAAUAGGUGUUAUAAAUUGGGUUGAAAUUUAAGUUUGUUACAUUUGGUUAUAAAUGUGAGAAUAAAUGAAUUUUUGAGUUAAAGGUU